rnacentral:tRNA from 1 species
AGGGGUGUAGCCCCGCCGUUGGCGGGGCACUACGUUCGGGAUCCCGCCGCAGGCGGGACUGGUUCAAGUCCAGUCACCCCGACUA